UACGAAGGGGGCUAGCGUUGCUCGGAAUCACUGGGCGUAAAGGGUGCGUAGGCGGGUCUUUAAGUCAGGGGUGAAAUCCUGGAGCUCAACUCCAGAACUGCCUUUGAUACUGAGGAUCUUGAGUUCGGGAGAGGUGAGUGGAACUGCGAGUGUAGAGGUGAAAUUCGUAGAUAUUCGCAAGAACACCAGUGGCGAAGGCGGCUCACUGGCCCGGUACUGACGCUGAGGUGCGAAAGCGUGGGGAGCGAACGGGG
rnacentral:rRNA from 1 species